rnacentral:piRNA from 1 species
UGGAAGUGGAUUUCCGGUGAAGGAUGG